rnacentral:rRNA from 1 species
AGUGAACGCUGGCGGUAGGCCUAACACAUGCAAGUCGAACGGCAGCACAGGAGAGCUUGCUCUCAGGGUGGCGAGUGGCGGACGGGUGAGGAAUACAUCGGAAUCUACCUUUUCGUGGGGGAUAACGUAGGGAAACUUACGCUAAUACCGCAUACGACCUACGGGUGAAAGUGGGGGACCGCAAGGCCUCACGCGAUUAGAUGAGCCGAUGUCCGAUUAGCUAGUUGGCGGGGUAAUGGCCCCCCAAGGCGACGAUCGGUAGCUGGUCUGAGAGGAUGAUCAGCCACACUGGAACUGAGACACGGUCCAGACUCCUACGGGAGGCAGCAGUUGGGAAUAUUGGACAAUGGGCGGAAGCCUGAUCCAGCCAUACCGCGUGGGUGAAGAAGGCCUUCGGGUUGUAAAGCCCUUUUGUUGGGAAAGAAAUCCUGUUGAUUAAUACUCGGUGGGGAUGACGGUACCCAAAGAAUAAGCACCGGCUAACUUCGUGCCAGCCGCCGCCGUAAGAC